rnacentral:rRNA from 2 species
AGAGUUUGAUCAUGGCUCAGAUUGAACGCUGGCGGCAGGCCUAACACAUGCAAGUCGAACGGUAACAGGAAGCAGCUUGCUGCUUUGCUGACGAGUGGCGGACGGGUGAGUAAUGUCUGGGAAACUGCCUGAUGGAGGGGGAUAACUACUGGAAACGGUAGCUAAUACCGCAUAACGUCGCAAGACCAAAGAGGGGGACCUUAGGGCCUCUUGCCAUCGGAUGUGCCCAGAUGGGAUUAGCUAGUAGGUGGGGUAAAGGCUCACCUAGGCGACGAUCCCUAGCUGGUCUGAGAGGAUGACCAGCCACACUGGAACUGAGACACGGUCCAGACUCCUACGGGAGGCAGCAGUGGGGAAUAUUGCACAAUGGGCGCAAGCCUGAUGCAGCCAUGCCGCGUGUAUGAAGAAGGCCUUCGGGUUGUAAAGUACUUUCAGCGGGGAGGAAGGGAGUAAAGUUAAUACCUUUGCUCAUUGACGUUACCCGCAGAAGAAGCACCGGCUAACUCCGUGCCAGCAGCCGCGGUAAUACGGAGGGUGCAAGCGUUAAUCGGAAUUACUGGGCGUAAAGCGCACGCAGGCGGUUUGUUAAGUCAGAUGUGAAAUCCCCGGGCUCAACCUGGGAACUGCAUCUGAUACUGGCAAGCUUGAGUCUCGUAGAGGGGGGUAGAAUUCCAGGUGUAGCGGUGAAAUGCGUAGAGAUCUGGAGGAAUACCGGUGGCGAAGGCGGCCCCCUGGACGAAGACUGACGCUCAGGUGCGAAAGCGUGGGGAGCAAACAGGAUUAGAUACCCUGGUAGUCCACGCCGUAAACGAUGUCGACUUGGAGGUUGUGCCCUUGAGGCGUGGCUUCCGGAGCUAACGCGUUAAGUCGACCGCCUGGGGAGUACGGCCGCAAGGUUAAAACUCAAAUGAAUUGACGGGGGCCCGCACAAGCGGUGGAGCAUGUGGUUUAAUUCGAUGCAACGCGAAGAACCUUACCUGGUCUUGACAUCCACGGAAGUUUUCAGAGAUGAGAAUGUGCCUUCGGGAACCGUGAGACAGGUGCUGCAUGGCUGUCGUCAGCUCGUGUUGUGAAAUGUUGGGUUAAGUCCCGCAACGAGCGCAACCCUUAUCCUUUGUUGCCAGCGGUCCGGCCGGGAACUCAAAGGAGACUGCCAGUGAUAAACUGGAGGAAGGUGGGGAUGACGUCAAGUCAUCAUGGCCCUUACGACCAGGGCUACACACGUGCUACAAUGGCGCAUACAAAGAGAAGCGACCUCGCGAGAGCAAGCGGACCUCAUAAAGUGCGUCGUAGUCCGGAUUGGAGUCUGCAACUCGACUCCAUGAAGUCGGAAUCGCUAGUAAUCGUGGAUCAGAAUGCCACGGUGAAUACGUUCCCGGGCCUUGUACACACCGCCCGUCACACCAUGGGAGUGGGUUGCAAAAGAAGUAGGUAGCUUAACCUUCGGGAGGGCGCUUACCACUUUGUGAUUCAUGACUGGGGUGAAGUCGUAACAAGGUAACCGUAGGGGAACCUGCGGUUG